AAAAAAAUAUUUUCAUAGAAUUUCUUAAAAAUAUAAAAUAAUGUUUUAAGAUAAAGACGUUUUUUGAGAGUAACUUUGCUUAUUGUAAACAAAAACGCAUGAUUUGAUCACUUUCCAGCAAUUCACCUUCGAAAAUUUAAAAACGGUUAUCUUUGCUUUCUGAAUUGAAUUAGUUAUGUUCUAAACCUUGAUUCUCAGCGCAGAUUAUCCUGCAAAAGUAUCUUACACAAGAAUAAUAUCUAUAUAGAAAUGGUAACCGCUAACAAUUAGUUGCCGUUAAACUAUUUGAAAUUUUCUAAGAUAAAUUAAAAUAUACACGCUUUAUGGAUCCUUAGAAAAAAUGAGGAAGAAACAUUAAUAAUCUCUGGAUAUUCAAUACACGUGGCUUCUAAACGAUGCGAGUGCCACAAUUAUUUGGAUUUUACAUGGUACAGGUUAAUAUGACAGAGUAAAGAACCGUGAUGAUUGUUUUCUUGUGCCUUUUUCUACAGAUGUGCCGAGUGAAGUAAUGUUAAGUUGGUAGGCUCAAUGUGUAAAAAUGAUUCGAACAUUAGAUCUUGUAUUUAAACUGUUUCACUAAAACCACAUAGUUUCUGUUGGAUUCAUUACAUUUUUUUAAUCAUUUGAGUGAAAUGGAAAGUCACAGACAUCAUUAAAGAAGCAGAUUAUCCUGAGCAGACAUCUGCGUUUAAUGGGAACAAUUGCGCAACGUCAUUCCCCAUAAGAAGAUUGACUGCAUUUACAGCUAUUGGCAAAUAGUACGGAGAGCAGCUGUCCAGACGGCCAGAAAACAUUUUAUUGUUUGACACAGAAGUAAUAUCGGCUGGAUAACUUUUGACACUUAAUAGAUACCAGCUUGCGUGAUAAAGGUAUGCCACCAACCACAGUAUUUUCUCAGUUUCGUACACAUGCCAUCCAUCUAUAUCACUCUUCCUGGAUGCGAGGAAGUAUUCGCUUAAGAUACGUCUAUGUAUCCAAAGGCACAAUAGACAUGUUUUGCCCGAAAUGACCAUGGCCCAACAGGAAAUACCUGGAAUCUUCAAGAGGAUUUUGGAAUUUGAGCCGUUUUUAAAAUAUAUUCGUGGUCCAACAGAUUUAAUUGAUAGUUUUAAGAGCUAGAAAUCUUGAACCAAGUUCAAAAUGCAUCGUCUUUGGUACUCGCAAAUUACGGAAACUUACAUUCAAUAUGCACAGUGGAUUGAAAGUGAAAGGUUUAUAAUCUCUCCAUAUGCCAGACGAGUGGUUUCAAAGAAACGAGAUCAGAAUCAUGUGGAUUUAACAUGCUUAACUUGUGAUAGGAGAAAAUAACCAUGAAGAUUUCUUCUUAUACUGUUUUCAACUAUGGAACCAAUGUUAAUUUGGACGAUUUUUUUGUGUAAUGCCAGCAAGAAUUUGUGAGAUAACAUCCGUUUGAACCACUUUACUUAACCUUCCUAAUACCUAAAUACUACUUGGUUCUACAGCAGCGCAUUGUGCAAAGAAUACAACUCAUGUCAUUUAUUUGAACAAUGGCACUCUCCAUCUAUAGAAUGAAUGUCCUUUUCAGUUCCAGCUACAAAUUCUAUAUACAGAGGAUGUCUGGAUGCCCAGGAAAGAGCAGUACUGAAGUGGUUUCGAUAUUGACAUGAGUUGGCCGAAAUGAUCGUGGUACAACGGAUGACAUCCGGAAUGUUCAAGCGCAUAUCGGAACUCGGAGCCUUAGUAAUGAAAUAUUGCAUGAAGAUCCAACAUAUGCAGUUUGUAAAAUUGUAAAUAUUAGACCAAACCCAAAAUGCAUAUUUGGUACCAAAAUAUUGUCAAUGAUCUGCAUAGUGGAAAUGUAAAUGUAUAUGGAGUUAACAUUACUUGAGGACAUCAAUACAUCUCUAAAAUGUUUUAUUCUUCCAUUUUUAAGGUUUUGAAUAUUUAUAUAUUUUUGGAGAAUUCUUUCAACCAAUGCAGUAAUUCAUUUCGAACUUGGAAAAGGUUGAAGUGCAUGAAAUGUACAUCAUUCAAAGCCUGUUUGGCAUAUGAAUCAAUAUUUCUUAAGUUUUGGAAAUUGUUAAGCUUUUGGUUCAUUAUAUUUCCUUCAAAGUUGAUGUUUAUAUUCUACUCUUUUAGAAACAAGUAUUUUUUUUAAUAUUCUAGACAUAUGAAACAUUUUUAUGGAUAAAUUAAAAUUUGUAAGUAUUUGAUUUUUCUAAGUUAUCUAAAACCAAUUUUCAACAAGACCUAAAGAAGAAUUUUUCUCUCAGGAUGUCUAAAAUUGACUUUAAAAUUUCAUUUGUAACCAUACUCUUAUUAAAAGUUAGUAAGUUAGACUUUUUUUUACUGACCCAGCGAUAUAGCCAGGGAUCGCAGCAACUGUCCCAGAAUUGCAAUUACUUGAAAAAAAAAAGUAUAAAACGACUUAAUUUGCAUUUGACAUUUCUCCGUCAUUGUAAACAGAGAAGGCAUCUUCAUGAUAUUAGAUGAUUUGUUAAGAUUAUUUUUCAUCAUCGACUGCCUUAUUAAAAUUCUAAAAAUUUAAUUUUUUGUUAUUGAUAACCGAUUAGCUAUUAUUCCUUUUCAUCAGCAUAAUUGUUUGUAGACAGUUUUCAAUUUAUUGAUAGAUUUUACAAAAUAGUCUUCCAUUGUUUUCAUUUAUUACUGAAUGUCAAAGAUCGCGAAAGCAAUUUGAUUCAUUUUUUCCUGAAUAGAAAUUUAAAAACAUGGUAUCAAAGAUCAUUAUUUGAAAUUUAAUUCCAGCACUUUGAGAAAUUUUAUCAUGAUUUGUGUAGCUAUAGUAAGCAAAUAUCUGUACAUUGCAUCCAUUUGCAAUUAUUUUUUUAAAUCAAAAUUCUAUUCUUAUUAAAUUUAUUAAAAAUGGGUGAUAAUUAAUGAUUAAUAGAACUUCACUUUGUGACUAUGAAAUAAGUUAUUACAAACUCGGUAUAUUUACUGUAGUGGCUAUGUGCGUAUAAUUCUGAUUUAGCAACAAAUAUUUUUUUUUCUAUAAGUGUCUUAACAUUAGCCUUUGAAAUAUUGUUUUAUACCUUGUUAUCAAGAUCUCAAUUUUUUUUUAUUAAAAUUUUGAUGUGAAAGCAAAAUUUGUGAAAAUGAAAUUUUCUUUAAUAUGUAUUUGUAUGUUUGUCUAAUUUAAAAUAUAUAAAUAAUCACUGCUGUCAAUGGCAGGGGAAACGCGCCUGUACCUUGCAUGAAAGAAAUGGCAAAAGAAAAAAAAAUGCGUUGUCCACAUGUCUACUUUGUUUUCUUAAAGAUUAUUUGAAAUUUAAAUAUUUUCAAUAAAUAUUGCUCAAACUUAAGUUAUGUGUUUGCCCACGUGAAACAAUGUUGUGCAUUGCAAAGAUGUCUUAUGCUUAUAUAUUGAAUUUGAUAAUAUUAAUUAUUGGAACUGUAAUUAUUCUUAAAUUAUGGGAUACGAUAGGGCUUUAUUCUCUUUUCAUUAACUUUCACAUUUGAAUAACCGUAAAAUGCACAACAUUCAUUUUUCCUGAACAGAAAUUUAAAAACAUGGUAUCAAUGAUCAUUCAUUUGUAAUCUAAUUGCAAUACUUUCAGAAAAAUUUUGGCAUUGUAUUUGUAGUUAUAUUAAAUAAGCAUCUGUCCGUUGCAUCCAUUUGCAGUUAGGUUUUUAAAAGAUUUUAUUCUUGUUAAAUUUAUUCAGGUUAAAUUAAUGAUUAAUUUAUUAAAAAUAAAAAGUUAGUAAUGCUUAGUAUUCCAAGUUCACCAUUAAUCUUUUAAUAAGUAAUAAUUUCUAAAUCUCGUCAUUUUGGCCUUCAAUUUUACUUAAAUGUGUACAUCCGCAGAUAGAGGAUACUUUGAUUGACUCGGCCGGCCAGCCAAUCAAAAUGUCCUCAGAUUCUUCGAAGGCAUUUGAUCAUUGUGUCUGAUCACCACAAUGAUCAGAAUGCUUUCGCAGAAAAUGAUAUUCGCGCAUGAUUAGCAUGAAUCAUAUUUCUAAAAAUCUACUAAAGUAUAAUAAAAUAUUAGUUGAGGAAAAAAUGUGAAUGGAUGCGAUGAAUGUUGAAUAACGUAGGUUAGAUUGCUUUCUUUUAUUAAUACGAGUAAAUUAAGUUUUAUCAGAUUUUCAGAAGUUCUUAAUUUUUAUUCUAUGCUAUUUAAUAAAAUAUUAAAUUCUCACUUAUUCUAAAUUGAAUUAUGUAUUGGAAAAAUCUUAGAAUGAAUGUUCAAAUUAUAUACUAUCCUUAAAUAAUAAUUUCUAUAAAUGUGUUGUUUCCUUAAUUACAUUUUAAUAAUCAAUACUUGUAUUAAAUUUUCCAUUUCAAGUAUAUAAAUUUUAUGUUAACUGAGUACUUUUAUUUUCAAAAUUGUUUGAAUUAUUGC